GACGAACGCUGGCGGCGUGCCUAAUACAUGCAAGUAGAACGCUGAAGAGAGGAGCUUGCUCUUCUUGGAUGAGUUGCGAACGGGUGAGUAACGCGUAGGUAACCUGCCUUGUAGCGGGGGAUAACUAUUGGAAACGAUAGCUAAUACCGCAUAACAAUGGAUGACACAUGUCAUUUAUUUGAAAGGGCAAUUGCUCCACUACAAGAUGGACCUGCGUUGUAUUAGCUAGUAGGUGAGGUAACGGCUCACCUAGGCGACGAUACAUAGCCGACCUGAGAGGGUGAUCGGCCACACUGGGACUGAGACACGGCCCAGACUCCUACGGGAGGCAGCAGUAGGGAAUCUUCGGCAAUGGGGGCAACCCUGACCGAGCAACGCCGCGUGAGUGAAGAAGGUUUUCGGAUCGUAAAGCUCUGUUGUAAGUCAAGAACGAGUGUGAGAGUGGAAAGUUCACACUGUGACGGUAGCUUACCAGAAAGGGACGGCUAACUACGUGCCAGCAGCCGCGGUAAUACGUAGGUCCCGAGCGUUGUCCGGAUUUAUUGGGCGUAAAGCGAGCGCAGGCGGUUUGAUAAGUCUGAAGUUAAAGGCUGUGGCUCAACCAUAGUUCGCUUUGGAAACUGUCAAACUUGAGUGCAGAAGGGGAGAGUGGAAUUCCAUGUGUAGCGGUGAAAUGCGUAGAUAUAUGGAGGAACACCGGUGGCGAAAGCGGCUCUCUGGUCUGUAACUGACGCUGAGGCUCGAAAGCGUGGGGAGCGAACAGGAUUAGAUACCCUGGUAGUCCACGCCGUAAACGAUGAGUGCUAGGUGUUGGAUCCUUUCCGGGAUUCAGUGCCGCAGCUAACGCAUUAAGCACUCCGCCUGGGGAGUACGACCGCAAGGUUGAAACUCAAAGGAAUUGACGGGGGCCCGCACAAGCGGUGGAGCAUGUGGUUUAAUUCGAAGCAACGCGAAGAACCUUACCAGGUCUUGACAUCCCGAUGCUAUUUCUAGAGAUAGAAAGUUACUUCGGUACAUCGGUGACAGGUGGUGCAUGGUUGUCGUCAGCUCGUGUCGUGAGAUGUUGGGUUAAGUCCCGCAACGAGCGCAACCCCUAUUGUUAGUUGCCAUCAUUCAGUUGGGCACUCUAGCGAGACUGCCGGUAAUAAACCGGAGGAAGGUGGGGAUGACGUCAAAUCAUCAUGCCCCUUAUGACCUGGGCUACACACGUGCUACAAUGGUUGGUACAACGAGUUGCGAGUCGGUGACGGCAAGCUAAUCUCUUAAAGCCAGUCUCAGUUCGGAUUGUAGGCUGCAACUCGCCUACAUGAAGUCGGAAUCGCUAGUAAUCGCGGAUCAGCGCGCCGCGGUGAAUACGUUCCCGGGCCU
rnacentral:rRNA from 1 species